AUUGAACGCUGGCGGAAUGCUUUACACAUGCGAGUCGAACGGCAGCACGGACUUCGGUCUGGUGGCGAGUGGCGAACGGGUGAGUAAUGUAUCGGAACGUGCCCAGUCGUGGGGGAUAACGUAGUGAAAAUUACGCUAAUACCGCAUACGAUCUAUGGAUGAAAGCGGGGGAUCGCAAGACCUUGCGCGAUUGGAGCGGCCGAUAUCAGAUUAGGUAGUUGGUGGGGUAAAGGCCCACCAAGCCAACGAUCUGUAGCUGGUCUGAGAGGACGACCAGCCACACUGGAACUGAGACACGGUCCAGACUCCUACGGGAGGCAGCAGUGGGGAAUUUUGGACAAUGGGCGAAAGCCUGAUCCAGCCAUUCCGCGUGCAGGAUGAAGGCCCUCGGGUUGUAAACUGCUUUUGUACAGAACGAAAAGGUUUCUACUAAUACUAGGAGCUCAUGACGGUACUGCAAGAAUAAGCACCGGCUAACUACGUGCCAGCCGCCGCGGUAA
rnacentral:rRNA from 1 species